rnacentral:rRNA from 1 species
CCCACGGGCGGCAGCAGUGGGGAAUAUUGGACAAUGGGGGCAACCCUGAUCCAGCCAUGCCGCGUGUGUGAAGAAGGCCCUCGGGUUGUAAAGCACUUUCAGUGAGGAAGAACGCCUGGUGGUUAAUACCCAUCAGGAAAGACAUCACUCACAGAAGAAGCACCGGCUAACUCCGUGCCAGCAGCCGCGGUAAUACGGAGGGUGCGAGCGUUAAUCGGAAUUACUGGGCGUAAAGCGCGCGUAGGUGGCUUGAUAAGCCGGUUGUGAAAGCCCCGGGCUCAACCUGGGAACGGCAUCCGGAACUGUCAAGCUAGAGUGCAGGAGAGGAAGGUAGAAUUCCCGGUGUAGCGGUGAAAUGCGUAGAGAUCGGGAGGAAUACCAGUGGCGAAGGCGGCCUUCUGGACUGACACUGACACUGAGGUGCGAAAGCGUGGGUAGCAAACAGGAUUAGAUACCCGGGUAGUC